rnacentral:rRNA from 1 species
UACGGGGGGUGCGAGCGUUGUCCGGAAUCACUGGGCGUAAAGGGCGCGUAGGUGGUCUGAUAAGGGUGUGGUGAAAGCCCGGGGCUCAACCCCGGGUCGGCCGUGCCGACUGUUAGACUAGAGUGCUGUAGGGGCAGGCGGAAUUCCAGGUGUAGCGGUGAAAUGCGUAGAUAUCUGGAGGAACACCGGUGGCGAAGGCGGAAUCCUGGACCAUUACUGACGCUGAGUGAGCGAAAGCCAGGGGAGCAAACGGG